UGUGGCUCAUAAAUUUUAAUCAAUAAAAUGGAGGAAAGUGCAACAAAACUGAGAACAAAACAGCAUCUCCUGCCAAAGCCAUGGAGCCUAAGGAACUAAUACCCUGGACCCGCCAUUGUGAUUACUGAGAACAGGUAAAUGUAAAAUUAAUUAAGGAGGAUAUACAUUAUCAUAACUAUAAUUAAAUAAUGAGUGCAUGUUCAUUCAAAAAUUUAUACUCCAAUAAGAUUCAUUAUAGAGGUGAACCUAAUGGAGCUAAAGGGGCUGAGGGUCGGUAAGUCUUAUUAGCUACUGGUUGCCAGACCAGCCUACAGUCAUUGGGUGGUAGCUGGGGAAUGGUCUGGCUAGUGAGACUAGGCCGGGGGGACAUGGAGCCUAAGGAGCUAAUGAGUCUAAUACCCUGGAUCAGCAUUGGGAUGACUGGGAUCAGAUGCUCCUAGCAGCAGUGGCAAUGAUGAAACUAUGCCAGUGCCAACUAAAAGAAGAGAAGGAGGUUUUGAUAUUAAUUAAAAACAGCUAAACAAAAGAUCAAACAAGUUAUGAUUGAGAAUCACACUGAUUUUGCUGGACUCCUCCAAUUUUCUCUGGUCCAUGUUGCUAACAAACUAUUCGAGGUUCAUAUGAUUCCUCCUGAGGUUCAACAGUCACGAACUUAUGAUGCCAUAGCUACUUGUUUUGUAUCUAUGAU